AUUGAACGCUGGCGGCAUGCCUUACACAUGCAAGUCGAACGGCAGCGGACCUUCGGGUGCCGGCGAGUGGCGAACGGGUGAGUAAAGUAUCGGAACGUACCUUUCAGUGGGGGAUAACGUAGCGAAAGUUACGCUAAUACCGCAUAUUCUGUGAGCAGGAAAGCAGGGGAUCGCAAGACCUUGCGCUGAUUGAGCGGCCGAUAUCAGAUUAGCUAGUUGGUGAGGUAAAGGCUCACCGAGGCGACGAUCUGUAGCGGGUUUGAGAGGAUGAUCCGCCACACUGGAACUGAGACACGGUCCAGACUCCUACGGAAGGCAGCAGUGGGGAAUUUUGGACAAGGGGGGCAACCCUGAUCCAGCCAUGCCGCGUGAGUGAAGAAGGCCUUCGGGUUGUAAAGCUCUUUCGGCCGGGAAGAAAUCGCUUAGGUUAAUACCCUGAGUGGAUGACGGUACCGGAAUAAGAAGCACCGGCUAACUACGUGCCAGCAGCCGCGGUAA
rnacentral:rRNA from 1 species